rnacentral:rRNA from 1 species
UAGUCCACACCGUAAACGAUGAGAGCUAGUUGUCUGCAGGCAUGCCUGUAGGUGACGCAGCUAACGCAUUAAGCUCUCCGCCUGGGGAGUACGGUCGCAAGAUUAAAACUCAAAGAAAUUGACGGGGGCCCGCACAAGCGGUGGAGCAUGUGGCUUAAUUCGAUGCAACGCGAAGAACCUUACCUGGGCUUGACAUGCCAACCCCUCUUUGAGGGGGUGCUAGCGAAAGCUACUUUAAAGACACAGGUGCUGCAUGGCUGUCGUCAGCUCGUGCCGUGAGGUGUUGGGUUAAGUCCCGCAACGAGCGCAACCCUUGUCGUUAGUUGCCAUCAGACAGUGAUGUGCUGGGCACUCUAACGAGACUGCCCGUGAUAAGCGGGAGGAAGGUGGGGAUGACGUCAAGUCAGUAUGGUCCUUAUGCCCAGGGCUGCACACGUGCUACAAUGGGCGGUACAAUGGGUAGCCAAGCCGCGAGGUGGAGCCAAUA